rnacentral:rRNA from 1 species
AGGGUUUGAUCAUGGCUCAGGAUGAACGCUGGCGGCGUGCUUAACACAUGCAAGUCGAACGAACCUUCGGGUUAGUGGCGGACGGGUGAGUAACGCGUGAGAAUCUGCCCUCAGGAGGGGGAUAACGGUUGGAAACGACCGCUAAUACCCCAUAUGCCUACUGGUGAAACGAAUUUCGCCUGAGGAUGAGCUCGCGUCUGAUUAGCUUGUUGGUGAGGUAAUGGCUCACCAAGGCUUCGAUCAGUAGCUGGUCUGAGAGGAUGAUCAGCCACACUGGGACUGAGACACGGCCCAGACUCCUACGGGAGGCAGCAGUGGGGAAUUUUCCGCAAUGGGCGAAAGCCUGACGGAGCAACGCCGCGUGAGGGACGAAGGCCUCUGGGCUGUAAACCUCUUUUCUCAAGGAAGAAGAUAUGACGGUACUUGAGGAAUAAGCCACGGCUAAUUCCGUGCCAGCAGCCGCGGUAAUACGGGAGUGGCAAGCGUUAUCCGGAAUUAUUGGGCGUAAAGCGUCCGCAGGCGGCUUUUCAAGUCUGCUGUUAAAGCGUGGAGCUUAACUCCAUCAUGGCAGUGGAAACUGAAAGGCUUGAGUAUGGUAGGGGCAGAGGGAAUUCCCGGUGUAGCGGUGAAAUGCGUAGAUAUCGGGAAGAACACCAGUGGCGAAGGCGCUCUGCUGGGCCAUUACUGACGCUCAUGGACGAAAGCCAGGGGAGCGAAAGGGAUUAGAUACCCCUGUAGUCCUGGCCGUAAACGAUGAACACUAGGUGUCGGGGGAAUCGACCCCUUCGGUGUCGUAGCUAACGCGUUAAGUGUUCCGCCUGGGGAGUACGCACGCAAGUGUGAACUCAAGGAAUUGACGGGGGCCCGCACAAGCGGUGGAGUAUGUGGUUUAAUUCGAUGCAACGCGAAGAACCUUACCAGGGUUUGACAUCCUGCGAACCUCUUAGAAAUUUGAGGGUGCCUUCGGGAAUGCAGUGACAGGUGGUGCAUGGCUGUCGUCAGCUCGUGUCGUGAGAUGUUGGGUUAAGUCCCGCAACGAGCGCAACCCACGUUUUUAGUUGCCAGCAUUUAGUUGGGCACUCUAGAAAGACCGCCGGUGAUAAACCGGAGGAAGGUGUGGAUGACGUCAAGUCAUCAUGCCCCUUACACCCUGGGCUACACACGUACUACAAUGCUACGGACAAAGGGCAGCAAACUCGCGAGAGCUAGCAAAUCCCAUAAACCGUGGCUCAGUUCAGAUCGUAGGCUGCAACUCGCCUACGUGAAGUAGGAAUCGCUAGUAAUCGCAGGUCAGCAUACUGCGGUGAAUACGUUCCCGGGCCUUGUACACACCGCCCGUCACACCAUGGAAGUUGGCCAUGCCCGAAGUCGUUACUCCAACCCUUGUGGAGGAGGACGCCGAAGGUGGGGCUAAUGACUGGGGUGAAGUCGUAACAAGGUAGCCGUA